rnacentral:rRNA from 1 species
GACGAACGCUGGCGGCGUACUUAACACAUGCAAGUCGAGCGGUAAGGCCCUUUCGGGGUACGACGAGCGGCGAACGGGUAGAGUAACAACGUGGGUGGACCUCGCCCUCCAGCUCUGGGAGUAAGACCUCGGGAAACCGGGGUACGUAAUAACCGGAGUAUGACUCCAUGACGCAUGUUGUGGGGUGGGAAAGACCUUGUGCGGCUGAGGA